GACGAACGCUGGCGGCGUGCUUAACACAUGCAAGUCGAACGGAAAGGCCCUGCAUUUGUGGGAUGCUCGAGUGGCGAACGGGUGAGUAACACGUGAGUAACCUGCCCUUGACUUUGGGAUAACUUCAGGAAACUGGGGCUAAUACCGGAUAUGAGCUCCUGAUGCAUGGUGGGGGUUGGAAAGUUUCGGCGGUUGGGGAUGGACUCGGGGCUUAUCAGCUUGUUGGUGGGGUAGUGGCUUACCAAGGCUUUGACGGGUAGCCGGCCUGAGAGGGUGACCGGCCACAUUGGGACUGAGAUACGGCCCAGACUCCUACGGGAGGCAGCAGUGGGGAAUCGUGCACAAUGGGCGGAAGCCUGAUGCAGCGACGCCGCGUGCGGGAUGACGGCCUUCGGGUUGUAAACCGCUUUCGCCUGUGACGAAGCGUGAGUGACGGUAAUGGGUAAAGAAGCACCGGCUAACUACGUG
rnacentral:rRNA from 1 species